UACGGGGGGUGCAAGCGUUAUUCGGAAUUAUUGGGCGUAAAGGGUGCGUAGGCGGUUUUGUAAGUUAGAUGUGAAAUACCGGGGCUUAACUUCGGAACUGCAUUUGAUACUGCGAGACUUGAGUAUGGGAGAGGAGAGCGGAAUUCCUGGUGUAGAGGUGAAAUUCGUAGAUAUCAGGAGGAACACCGGUGGCGAAGGCGGCUCUCUGGACCAAUACUGACGCUGAGGCACGAAGGCGUGGGGAGCAAACAGG
rnacentral:rRNA from 1 species